CAAAAUACAAUUACAAAAGUUUUGACAAAAAAUAUAAAGUGAUUUGACAUACCUUGAAGAAGGAAGAUUAGAAGUAGAGGAGACGUAGGAGACGGAGGCCCAGUUGUCCUUGGAUCGUUGGUACACUCUCAACUGCUCGGCCAGGUUGUACCUUCUAUAAUAAAUGGUGGAAUAACAGCUUUAUACUUCAUCAUGUGGGAAAAAGGCCUCAAAUCAUGUGGACUAGUGAGGGUCCUUGAAGAUAGGAACGAGGUGAGAACUCAGGCCAAUGCGUUUGACAUUAAUGAGAGAGGGAAAAGGAGGGAGGUCUUGUUGGUUUGUGUCAUGUGGACUUGUCCAUUGGCGGAUGAUGCGUAUCUUUUGAUAUUGUCCAAGUCAUGUGCAUUGGUACUAUUGUGAAUGUUGUAAGAAAAGCUGCCCAAGAGUUGCAGAAAUGAAAAUCUUGUUAACUUGAAAUAUUGCUUCUAUCAUUUAAAGGUCAGUCCCAAAUUAGAAAAAAUACAGUGAAGAUGCUUACAUGAGACUUCUUUAAUACA